AGAGUUUGAUCAUGGCUCAGAACGAACGCUGGCGGCAGGCCUAACACAUGCAAGUCGAGCGAGACCUUCGGGUCUAGCGGCGGACGGGUUAGUAACGCGUGGGAACGUACCCUUUUCUGCAGGAUAGCCACUGGAAACGGUGAGUAAUACUGCAUACGCCCUUCGGGGGAAAGAUUUAUCGGAGAAGGAUCGGCCCGCGUUAGAUUAGAUAGUUGGUGGGGUAAUGGCCUACCAAGUCUACGAUCUAUAGCUGGUUUGAGAGGAUGAUCAGCAACACUGGGACUGAGACACGGCCCAGACUCCUACGGGAGGCAGCAGUGGGGAAUCUUAGACAAUGGGCGCAAGCCUGAUCUAGCCAUGCCGCGUGAGUGAUGAAGGCCUUAGGGUCGUAAAGCUCUUUCGCCUGUGAAGAUAAUGACUGUAGCAGGUAAAGAAACCCCGGCUAACUCCGUGCCAGCAGCCGCGGUAAUACGGAGGGGGUUAGCGUUGUUCGGAAUUACUGGGCGUAAAGCGCGCGUAGGCGGACAUUUAAGUCAGAGGUGAAAUCCCAGGGCUCAACCCUGGAACUGCCUUUGAUACUGGGUGUCUUGAGUUCGAGAGAGGUGAGUGGAAUUCCGAGUGUAGAGGUGAAAUUCGUAGAUAUUCGGAGGAACACCAGUGGCGAAGGCGGCUCACUGGCUCGAUACUGACGCUGAGGUGCGAAAGUGUGGGGAGCAAACAGGAUUAGAUACCCUGGUAGUCCACACCGUAAACGAUGAAUGCCAGUCGUCGGGUAGUAUACUAUUCGGUGACACACCUAACGGAUUAAGCAUUCCGCCUGGGGGAGUACGGUCGCAAGAUUAAAACUCAAAGGAAUUGACGGG
rnacentral:rRNA from 1 species